rnacentral:rRNA from 1 species
CCAGACUCCUACGGGAGGCAGCAGUGGGGAAUAUUGGACAAUGGGGGGAACCCUGAUCCAGCGACGCCGCGUGAGUGAAGAAGUAUUUCGGUAUGUAAAGCUCUAUCAGCAGGGAAGAAAGGAAUGACGGUACCUGACUAAGAAGCCCCGGCUAACUACGUGCCAGCAGCCGCGGUAAUACGUAGGGGGCGAGCGUUAUCCGGAUUUACUGGGUGUAAAGGGAGCGUAGACGGCUGGUCAAGUCUGAAGUGAAAGCCCGGGGCUUAACCCCGGAACGGCUUUGGAAACUGAGCAGCUAGAGUGCUGGAGAGGUAAGCGGAAUUCCUAGUGUAGCGGUGAAAUGCGUAGAUAUUAGGAGGAACACCAGUGGCGAAGGCGGCUUACUGGACAGUAACUGACGUUGAGGCUCGAAAGCGUGGGGAGCAAACAGGAUUAGAUACCCUAGUAC